UUUUUUUUUUUUUUUUUUGCCAUACCACAGCAUAUGGAGGUUCCCAGGCUAGGGGUCCAAUCGGAGCCACAGCUGCCAGCCUACACCACAGCCACAGUAACGUGAGAUCCAAGCUGCUUCUGCAACCUACACCACAGCUCAUGGCAACGCCGGAUCCUUAACCCACUGAGUGAGGUUCCUAGUUGGAUUCGUUUCUGCUGCACCAUGAUGGGAACUCUGACAGCUUGUGAAGUUUCUAACAGAAACUAGAGGAGCCCACCUGUCUUUUAUUUUAUCAGUAAAUAAACCUAUUAAAAGGGCCCUUCCACCUCAAGCCCAUGGAAUGAGAAAGGAACACUGAAUAAUUUAAAAUUGAAAUUAUUUUAAAGGAAUUUAACCUUCUUUGGCGUCUUUUUUUUUUUUUUUGUCUUUUGUUGUUGUUGUUGUUGUUGUUGUUGUUGCUAUUUCUUGGGCCGCUCCCACGGCAUAUGGAGGUUCCCAGGCGAGGGGUCGAAUCGGAGCUGUAGCCACCGGCCUACACCAGAGCCACAGCAACGCAGGAUCCGAGCCGUGUCUGCAACCUACACCACAGCUCACGGCAACGCCGGAUCGUUAACCCACUGAGCAAGGGCAGGGACCGAACCCGCAACCUCAUGGUUCCUAGUCGGAUUCGUUAACCACUGCGCCACGAUGGGAACUCCGGCGUCUUUGAAUUCAUUAAAAAGUAAGGACAAGGCUUCAAGGACCAUAGGGACAUCACUGAUAUUCAACUUUGAAAAGUUCGUCUGAUGCUAAUGAGAACAGACCCUGUACUGCCUCAUUCUAGGAAUCUCAGAGAUUUUAUCAAAAUGUAUUUAGUGCUAGUUGUUUAACCCCAUCCUAGAUAUCUUAUUAACAUAGAUUUUGGAAGAGAGAGACAUUUUAUUCUUCUCAGGAACUGAUUUUUUGGGGGCCUGAAUACAUCAGUGUGGAUAAAGCCUAUAGCAUCACCCCAAGAAGAAAUGCAUCAAGCAGGUACAUGGGUCUGCAGAGGCGAUGUGCCCGAGUUGUUGUCGCCGUGAAACUAUUUGAAACAACCUAUGAAGCUUUAGAUAGUGUUUAGAAGACAAUGUUCGAAAUCGUCCUGGCUGUACUGUUUUGGCUUCUGCUGUUGUUUUGUUCCUCUAGGAGGGGCUGAAGUGCAAGGGCGUAUGGAGAGGUGUCCAUGGGCUCAGGGAUUUAGAGACGAUACCGAUGAGACAGUGAAAGAAGAGGAGCAGAGAGGGACAAGGGUUCUGGGGGCCUGGUAGCGUUGCUGGAAUUCAGCCUCUGCCUACAGGGGCUAAAUUGAAAUGCAGAGGCAGCGUUUUGGGUAAGGGAGAAAAAAAUAGCUUUAUUGCUUUUCCAGGCAAAGGAGGGUCACAGCGGGUCGAUGCCCUAAAGACUGUGUCCCCCUUUAGAAAGGAAUGCUAGGAGUUUUAUAGUAAAAAGGAGAAAAACAGGUUUUCAGAUAGGAAUCAGGAUUGGGACAAACAUGCCUUCUUCUUUCUUUGGGGGACUCUUAGUCAUCAAAGCGGGAGUCAGGAGAUCUCGGCCUGGUCAUGAUGGUGGUUGUCUGGGUUACGGCCUCGAAUAACAGUCCUUGUGAAAAGGGCCUAUGGAUCAGAGGGGAGCACAAACUAGGAGAGUGCCUGAAAACAUCAUGCGCUCAUCAUCUUUAACCACAGCAACUGUGCUCAGGUACCUAACCUUUAGCUUAUGAGUGAUUGUGUUUUGGGUGCAGUUGAGCCAGGGAGAAGGACACAAAGGACUCUACACUGUCCCUCCCUGGCCUCUGCAUCCCCUCCCUUCCCUGAUCAGCAACUGUCAGAACCUGUCCCUGGGAACUCAGGGAAGGUCAUGGGGGCUGAAUGAGGCCCAUUUCUUAAGAACAAGAAAUGGGGACACAGACGAGCUCUUGCUCCCAGGAGCCCGCAGGGCUGGGCUCAGUUUCAGCAGGGCUGGAAGAGGAAGCAAGGAGGUUGGCACAUAGGUGGCUCCAUCAUUCAGAGGUGGUCCUGGGGUGUCAGUCCCCAUGGGAUCCACAGCCCCACCCCCCGCCCCACGACAAAGACUACCUGGGUGGACCUUCCAGCACCUUCUCUGGCUGACUCUUGGUCCCCAUCUGCCAGUCCGUCGGUGGCUCAGGGCUGAGGAACAGGGAAGGGCUCCGUGACCAUGCGCCCGGGGCAACAGUAGACACGUCAACACUUUCUUCCAAGAAUACGCUACUUGGAAUUAAAAAAAAAAAAUCAAUAUUUUUUUUUCUUUAAAGCACAAAAGGAAUCAAUCAGUGUUGGUUUUCUUUAGCCCCUGGUGUAGUAUAAUUUUGUAUCACUGCCUGCGUUUGUCAGAAUAAAAAGAAUACUAACCCACCAGCAUGACAGGGGGUGCCUGUGGGCACCUGCCAGGUGCCGUGAUAGCAUGAAGACAAACACAGCAUCAGGGGCUGGUGCAGGGGAGAUGGCUGAGGACAGAGGGGUCUGGACGAUGCCACUGUGUGGGGUCUUUGUGAGCCAACCUUAUGCCAACACUGGAAGCCCCAGGUGCAAAGAGAGCCGAGGCCACGGAGCAUUGGUCGGUGGGGAUGGCAGGGCUGCCAAGGGGAGACAAGGGGCCCUCCCAGGCUUCCCCAGGGGACAGGAAACCUGAGUUUCAGAAGCUGCAGUAGAGGGUGGUCCUUUGUGACUGUCCCCAUCCUCCCUCAGUCACAUCCCGGCUGGCAUGGCACGGGCACCUCCCUGCUGGCAUGGCGUGGGCACCUCCCUGGGGAACAAGAAUGCCCCCCAAGGCCAAGGGCCUUUGGAUCACGUCAUGUUUUAUAACAUUGUGUGUUUUAUCAUGACAUAAUUUAGAGAUACCCGUUUAAUCUUUCAAGACACGAAGGUAAGAAACUCACUGUCUUUGCUGAUCCCACUGUGGGGGUUCAGACUCUCUCAGCUACAGCAUGCUUUGCACCAGCUGUGGAUUUUUUUUCAGCCAGGCAUUCCUAACACGACAUCCUUAUUAACAGACUUUCAGAACUGGUGAGAGACACUCAUCCAGUUGCCACAAGAAAACAAAAAUAUUUCCCUGCGGAAGUGGAGUUGGCUUGAUGGCUUGGAACGUGAACCC
rnacentral:lncRNA from 1 species